UACGUAGGGUGCAGGCGUUAAUCGGAAUUACUGGGCGUAAAGCGUGCGUAGGCGGAUUGCUAAGUCAGGGGUGAAAUCCUGGAGCUCAACUCCAGAACUGCCUUUGAUACUGGCGACCUUGAGUCCGGGAGAGGUGAGUGGAACUGCGAGUGUAGAGGUGAAAUUCGUAGAUAUUCGCAAGAACACCAGUGGCGAAGGCGGCUCACUGGCCCGGUACUGACGCUGAGGUGCGAAAGCGUGGGGAGCAAACAGG
rnacentral:rRNA from 1 species